AGCUAUUCUCCACAGAGAAGCUAGCUGAUUUGUCAUGACUUCUAAUCACUCAUCCUGAGUACCAAAUUGAAAUGCUGAUUUGGCAAGAUUAUUAAAAGAUCUCAAGGCACUUUCCAGAACAUAAAAGACUUGGUUAAAAUGGUGCAGGAGCAGAGAGCUUCACUGCCCAGAGCAGCAGCGUGGCGACAGAGGCAUAGUUGAGCAAAGAAAGAGGAAAGGGGCCUCCAGGGAAGCCAGA
rnacentral:lncRNA from 1 species